rnacentral:misc_RNA from 1 species
CUGAUUUGCUUAAUUGCACCACAUGUGUUUUUCUUUGAAACAAACUUGCUUUGGCGGUGGGCCCAGCCUGCCGCCAGAGGUCUAAACUUACAACCAAUUUUUUAUCAACUUGUCACACCAGAUUAUUACUUAAUAGUCAAAACUUUCAACAACGGAUCUCUUGGUUCUCGCAUCGAUGAAGAACGCAGCGAAAUGCGAUACGUAAUAUGAAUUGCAGAUAUUCGUGAAUCAUCGAAUCUUUGAACGCACAUUGCGCCCUCUGGUAUUCCGGAGGGCAUGCCUGUUUGAGCGUCGUUUCUCCCUCAAACCGCUGGGUUUGGUGUUGAGCAAUACGACUUGGGUUUGCUUGAAAGACGGUAGUGGUAAGGCGGGAUCGCUUUGACAAUGGCUUAGGUCUAACCAAAAACAUUGCUUGCGGCGGUAACGUCUACCACGUAUAUC